UUUACGAAAAUAACCUUUCGACAACUGAAAGAUACUCUAAGGCUAUUUCGGCAAGAACAGUUUAAGACGCGGCCGAAGCUGGGUCGGCUUAUUUUGACCAAAAAUCCGAACGGUAUUCACCUAACUGCUGACUCUUUGUUUUUUUUUCAAAUUACAAUGAAAACGUGGAGUUGCAAACACGGCCCUUCAGCGCCUCGGGGACGAAGAUUUUUAAGGCUGUGCGGGUCAACUGGACCAAACUCCUAAACAUGACCCAAAAGGUGUCUGUUUAUGCAAAGUCAGCCUUCCGGCGUCCUUUUCGGGAACAUUAGGCUAUUUAUGACAAAACAGCAUCACCUGACUUAUUUAUGACUCUUUUUAUCGAUUUUCAAAUUAGAAAAGUCAAUAUUGAAAACACGACCUUUCAACGCCUCGGGGACGAAGAUUUUUAAGGCUGUGUGGGUCAACUGGACCAAAUCUUAAAAAAAAUGAACCAAAGGUGGCUGUUUAUGCAAAGUCAGCCUUCCGGCGUCCCUCUCGGGAACAUUCGGCUAUGUCUUGAUAAAACAACGUCACCCGACUUCUUUAUGACAAAAUUAAAAUUUGACAUAUU
rnacentral:lncRNA from 1 species